AUUGAACGCUGGCGGCAGGCCUACACAUGCAAGUCGAGCGGAUGAGAGGAGCUUGCUCUUCGAUUCAGCGGCGGACGGGUGAGUAAAUGCCUAGGAAUCUGCCUAGUAGCGGGGGACAACGUUUCGAAAGGAACGCUAAUACCGCAUACGUCCUACGGGAGAAAGUGGGGGAUCUUCGGACCUCACGCUAUUAGAUGAGCCUAGGUCGGAUUAGCUAGUUGGUAGGGUAAAGGCCUACCAAGGCGACGAUCCGUAACUGGUCUGAGAGGAUGAUCAGUCACACUGGAACUGAGACACGGUCCAGACUCCUACGGGAGGCAGCAGUGGGGAAUA
rnacentral:rRNA from 1 species